UACGUAGGGAGCAAGCGUUGUCCGGAAUCAUUGGGCGUAAAGCGCGCGUAGGUGGUCCCGUAAGUCCGCUGUGAAAGUCAAAGGCUCAACCUUUGAAAGCCGGUGGAUACUGUGGGACUAGAGUACGGAAGAGGCGAGUGGAAUUCCUGGUGUAGCGGUGAAAUGCGCAGAUAUCAGGAGGAACACCAAUUGCGAAGGCAGCUCGCUGGGACGUAACUGACGCUGAGACGCGAAAGCGUGGGGAGCAAACAGG
rnacentral:rRNA from 1 species